rnacentral:misc_RNA from 1 species
UCCUAGUUAACCUAGGCAGUCUCGUUAGAGUACCCAUCUUUCAUGCUGGUAACUAACGAUAAGGGUUGCGCUCGUUGCUGGACUUAACCAAACACCUCACGGCACGAGCUGACGACAGCCAUGCAGCACCUACAUAACAGCCUUGCGGAAGCUACAUCUCUGUAGCGAUCUGUUACAUUUCAAACCCAGGUAAGGUUCUUCGCGUUGCAUCGAAUUAAACCACAUGCUCCACUGCUUGUGCGGGCCCCCGUCAAUUCUUUUGAGUUUUACCCUUGCGAGCGUACUCCUCAGGCGGUGUACUUAUCGCGUUAGCUACGACACACGCGGGGUUGAGCCCACAUACAUCAAGUACACAUCGUUUACGGCGUGGACUAC